rnacentral:rRNA from 1 species
CCCUUAGAUGUUCUGGGCUGCACGCGCGCUACACUGAUGCGCUCAACGAGUUUAUGACCUUGCCCGGAAGGGUUGGGUAAUCUUUUCAAAACGCAUCGUGAUGGGGAUAGAUUAUUGCAAUUAUUAAUCUUCAACGAGGAAUUCCUAGUAAGCGCGAGUCAUCAGCUCGUGCUGAUUACGUCCCUGCCCUUUGUACACACCGCCCGUCGCUACUACCGAUUGAACGGUUUAGUGAGGGCCUCGGAUUGGUCUCGGCCCGCUCUUCACCGGGCGGCGCCGUUGGUCGAGAAGACGCUCGAACUUGAUCGUUUAGAGGAAGUAAAAGUCGUAACA